UUUUAUGAGAGUUUGAUCCUGGCUCAGGACGAACGCUGGCGGCGUGCCUAAUACAUGCAAGUCGAACGCUUCUUUUUCCACCGGAGCUUGCUCCACCGGAAAAAGAGGAGUGGCGAACGGGUGAGUAACACGUGGGUAACCUGCCCAUCAGAAGGGGAUAACACUUGGAAACAGGUGCUAAUACCGUAUAACAAUCGAAACCGCAUGGUUUUGAUUUGAAAGGCGCUUUCGGGUGUCGCUGAUGGAUGGACCCGCGGUGCAUUAGCUAGUUGGUGAGGUAACGGCUCACCAAGGCCACGAUGCAUAGCCGACCUGAGAGGGUGAUCGGCCACAUUGGGACUGAGACACGGCCCAAACUCCUACGGGAGGCAGCAGUAGGGAAUCUUCGGCAAUGGACGAAAGUCUGACCGAGCAACGCCGAGUGAGUGAAGAAGGUUUUCGG
rnacentral:rRNA from 1 species